rnacentral:rRNA from 1 species
ACCCCUACUACAUGGAUACCUGUGGUAAUUCUAGAGCUAAUACAUGCGCAAAACCCCGACUUCGGAAGGGGUGUAUUUAUUAGAUAAAAAACCAAUGCCCUUCGGGGCUCCUUGGUGAUUCAUAAUAACUUCACGAAUCGCAUGGCCUUGCGCCGGCGAUGGUUCAUUCAAAUUUCUGCCCUAUCAACUUUCGAUGGUAGGAUAGUGGCCUACCAUGGUGGCAACGGGUAACGGGGAAUUAGGGUUCGAUUCCGGAGAGGGAGCCUGAGAAACGGCUACCACAUCCAAGGAAGGCAGCAGGCGCGCAAAUUACCCAAUCCCGAUACGGGGAGGUAGUGACAAUAAAUACUGAUACAGGGCUCUUUUGGGUCUUGUAAUUGGAAUGAGAACAAUCUAAAUCCCUUAACGAGGAACAAUUGGAGGGCAAGUCUGGUGCCAGCAGCCGCGGUAAUUCCAGCUCCAAUAGCGUAUAUUAAAGUUGUUGCAGUUAAAAAGCUCGUAGUUGAACCUUGGGCCCGUCCUGCCGGUCCGCCUCACCGCGAGUACUGGUCCGGAUGGGCCUUUCUUUCUGGGGAAUCCCAUGGCCUUCACUGGCUGUGGCGGGGAACCAGGACUUUUACUGUGAAAAAAUUAGAGUGUUCAAAGCAGGCCUUUGCUCGGAUACAUUAGCAUGGAAUAAUAGAAUAGGACGUGCGGUUCUAUUUUGUUGGUUUCUAGGACCGCCGUAAUGAUUAAUAGGGAUAGUCGGGGGCGUCAGUAUUCAGCUGUCAGAGGUGAAAUUCUUGGAUUUGCUGAAGACUAACUACUGCGAAAGCAUUCGCCAAGGAUGUUUUCAUUAAUCAGGAACGAA